rnacentral:rRNA from 1 species
UACGUAGGUGGCGAGCGUUGUCCGGAUUUAUUGGGCGUAAAGCGCUCGUAGGCGGUCUGGCAAGUUUCAGGUGAAAUCUCCCGGCUUAACUGGGAGGGGUCCUGGAAAACUGUCAGGCUUGAGGCAGGGAGAGGGAUGUGGAAUUCCCGGUGUAGUGGUGAAAUGCGUAGAUAUCGGGAGGAACACCAGUGGCGAAGGCGGCAUCCUGGCCCUGUACUGACGCUCAGGGGCGAAAGCGUGGGGAGCAAACAGG